AGAUGUGUGGGCGAUCUGACUGAGACAUCUGUCACCCCAUUGAUCACCAGAGUUGAUUUGGCUGAUGUGGCUAACUAGGCAGAUGUUCCCUUCCUCCCUCACUGCUCCAUUGCAUCCCUCCUGAAGCUGUCUGCUCCAUCAAAGAGGGUGAACUUCCUCCAAACACAGAGGAGCAGUCUUCGAGAAGGGUGGAGUAGCUGUUCUCCCCUUCCAGACUCUCCAAACAAGCUCUCCAGAAAACAACCAAGUGGUAAAGAAUGUUCGGAACAGUUUGGGUUUUUACAGUUAUGGACAAAAUAAGGAGAGGUGUUCAGCUCUGAAUUU
rnacentral:snRNA from 1 species